GGAAUUUUCGGCAAUGGGGGAAACCCUGACCGAGCAACGUCGCGUGAACGAUGAAGGCCUUCGGGUCGUAAAGUUCUGUUGCGAAGGAAGAACGCCGGUGUCAGGAAAUGGGCGCCGGGUGACGGUACUUCGCAUAGAAAGCCACGGCUAACUACGUGCCAGCAGCCGCGGUAAUACGUAGGUGGCGAGCGUUAUCCGGAAUCAUUGGGCGUAAAGAGGGAGCAGGCGGCGAUACAGGUCUGUGGUGAAAUUCCGAAGCUAAACUUCGGCCAGCCAAAGAAACCGGAUCGCUAGAGUGCGGAAGAGGAUCGUGGAAUUCCAUGUGUAGCGGUGAAAUGCGUAGAUAUAUGGAGGAACACCAGUGGCGAAGGCGACGGUCUGGGCCGCAACUGACGCUCAUUCCCGAAAGCGUGGGGAGCAAAUA
rnacentral:rRNA from 1 species